CCUACGGGUGGCAGCAGUAGGGAAUCUUCCACAAUGGGCGAAAGCCUGAUGGAGCAACGCCGCGUGGGUGAAGAAGGUCUUCGGAUCGUAAAACCCUGUUGUUAGAGAAGAAAGUGCGUGAGAGUAACUGUUCACGUUUCGACGGUAUCUUACCAGAACGCCACGGCUAACUACGUGCCAGCAGCCUCGGGAAUAUGUCGGUGGCAAGCGUUAUCCGGAUUUAUGGGGCGGAAAGGGAACGCAGGCGGUCUUUUAAGUCUGAUGUGAAAGCCUUCGGCUUAACCGGAGUAGUGCAUUGGAAACGGUGAGACGUGAGUGCAGAAGAGGAGAGUGGAACUCCAAGUGUAGCGGUGAAAUGCGGAGAUAUAUGGAGGAACACCAGGGGCGAAAGCGGCUCUCUGGUCUGUAACUGACGCUGAGGUUCGAAAGCGUGGGUAGCAAACAGGAUUAGAUACCCUGGUAGUC
rnacentral:rRNA from 1 species